rnacentral:lncRNA from 1 species
GAGGCCCUAAAGCUUCACCACAUGGGGUAAACAGUUUGUAUGCAAUGAAAACAGGCAGGAAAGAUUCUCCUGGAGAUGCUCCUGUGUGACUUCUCUUUGCGGGUGCGUCAGGUGUGAUGACCUGUAUCAGCUGAGCCAAAUCGGGUCAAGGAAUGAUAUGCCAAGGUUCCAAGGCUGUGUCGACCACCAGCUGCUCAAACAGCCGGGCUGAAGCCCAGCUACUUGAGCACAACUUUGAGUCUCAGAGUGUCAGAUGAUCGACAGGGCCACCGGCCGGUCAUGGUGAUGGUUGAAUCUCGGUGUCAUUUUGCGGAGAUGCUGUGAGAGCAAGAACCGACACCUGUCUGCUUGCUGUCUUCCUGCCUCUCUUCCUCUUUCCCCUCUCUCUCUGACCUCUGGCACCUCAUCUCCUUACCUCUCUUCCUCUGCCCCUCCCUCUUUCUUCCUUCAUCUCUUCCUCCUCCUCCUCUUCUAUCCCCCUCCCAUUCUCUUUCCUUCGAUGAAUUUCCCGGAUUCAUGGAUUCCAGGAGGCGCCGUAAAGAUCACAGAUAACCCAGAACUCUGGCCAGCCCAGGCUUGGUGGGGGGAGCUCUGAAGCUGAAGGUUCAUUUGGGAGAUGGCAUUCGUGAAAGCAGCACCCCAAAGUCAAGCCUCAGGGCCCACAAGGUGUGGUGAGUGUGCACAUGUGGUGG